rnacentral:rRNA from 1 species
ACUCAAAGGAAUUGACGGGGGCCCGCACAAGCGGUGGAACAUGUGGUUUAAUUCGAUGCAACGCGAAGAACCUUACCUGGGCUUGACAUCUGGGGAACCUUGUAGAGAUACGAGGGUGCUUUUGAACCCCAAGACAGGUGGUGCACGGUUGUCGUCAGCUCGUGUCGUGAGAUGUUGGGUUAAGUCCCGCAACGAGCGCAACCCUCGUGGUCUGUUGAUACAGGUGGAAACAUGCUGAUCCCUCAGGCCAGACUGCCGGUGACAAACCGGAGGAAGGUGGGGAUGACGUCAAAUCAUCACGCCCCUUAUGUCCAGGGCUACACACGUGUUACAAUGGGUAAAGGACAAUGGGCAGCUUGGCCGCGAGGUCUGGCGAAUCCCUUAAACCUUCCCUCAGUUCGGAUCGGAGUCUGCAACUCGACUCCGUGAAGUCGGAAUCGCUAGUAAACGCAGAUCAGCACGCUGCGUUGAAUACGUUCCCGGGCCUUGUACACACCGCCCGU